GUAUUGAUGUUUAUAGUGAUAUAAUGUGUUAUAUCAAGCGGGGAGUGUUAUGCCUUUUGGUCAAAAGUCAGUAGUUAGUGCAUAAUCUGAUUAAGUUACGUAACUAAGGUGAUAAAUAAAUUCAAAGUUAAGAAAUAUUAUAAGUAAUUCAUGCUAAAAACAGUUAAGAUAUGUGUGUUUGAAAUUUGCUCAGAGUGAGACAUCGUUAUCACAAGCGAUCUUUGUAUUGUAUGUGCGGAAAUGGGAGCGAGGGAGCGCUCUGAUCAUUCACCUAUCUUUGACGUAUUUUCUCCGUUAAUGUUGUGAAAAGUGCUUCGGCAGUAUUAAAACUGUGAAUAAGCUCAUGUACACGCUAAAAGUGCUCUACACGCUUGUACCUUGGGAAACGUUCGUCUUUUUACAAAUAAGAAAUAGAAAGGAGAAGCCUUGAGAGAGGAUAAGGCUUCAAAAGAUCUUCAUUAAAAGCAAGAAAAGCAAGCCUUGUGUGGAAGAUCUCAUCUAUUUUGUUCGCUGGCUGUCUAGCUUCACAUGGUCACGUGUCGUGAGGGCAGCACA